rnacentral:misc_RNA from 1 species
GUGAAGAACGCAGCGAAAUGCGAUAAGUAGUGUGAAUUGCAGAAUUUAGUGAAUCAUCGAAUCUUUGAACGCACAUUGCGCCCUUUGGUAUUCCUUAGGGCAUGCCUGUUCGAGCGUCAUCUACACCCUCAAGCACAGCUUGGUGAUGGGCGCCUGUCCCGCCCCCCACGGGGGCGCGGACUCGCCUCAAAUGCAUUGGCGGCCGGCGACCUGGCUUCGAGCGCAGCAGAAACGCGUACUCGGGGACCGGGCGCCCGCUCCCAGAAGCCAACCCACCCAGUUUGACCUCGGAUCAGGUAGGGAUACCCGCUGAACUUAAGCAUAUCAAUAAGCGGAGGA